rnacentral:lncRNA from 1 species
CUAGAUCGUUAGAGUAUUCUAUUUAUAAAGUAUCGACGCAUGGCUAUACUCUUUAAACAUAUUUUCACAUUGCACCAAUAAUAAAAAUAUGGAUUUCUCUGUAUGCUUAUCUUUUGAGGUGCCCUUUGUAAAAAUCCCACAUCAAAAAUCCACACUCCUAUAAAGGUGUUUAUAAAUAGAGCACUAUAAUGGCUUAGUAAGAGUGGUUAACAGUGGAGAGCUGGGUUAAUGGACUUGGCUAUAGGCUCGGCUUUGAUUAAUAAUAAUUAUAUUAAUCAAAGACUUGGGCCUUGGGCUCUAUAGAAAUUUAAAUAAGACACCCAAACGAAAAUAAGUUAUAUAGCGACCGAACUUUUAAGUUGUAAAGAGGUGCUCUUUUUUAAAAAUAAAAUAAAUUAAAAUAGUCUAGCCGAACGGCUAUACUCGGUUUUUUGAUUUUUUUGUUUGAAAUAGUAUAGCUACGGCUGUACUCGGUUUUUUU